CCUACGGGAGGCAGCAGUGAGGAAUAUUGGUCAAUGGACGAGAGUCUGAACCAGCCAAGCCGCGUGAAGGAUGACUGCCCUAUGGGUUGUAAACUUCUUUUAUACGGGAAUAAAACGUUCUACGUGUGUGCAUCUGUAAGUACUAUACGAAUAAGGAUCGGCUAACUCCGUGCCAGCAGCCGCGGUAAUACGGAGGAUCCGAGCGUUAUCCGGAUUUAUUGGGUUUAAAGGGUGCGUAGGCGGAUUGAUAAGUUAGUGGUGAAAGGUCGGGGCUUAACUCGGGAAUUGCAGUUGAUACUGGUGAUCUAGAGAGCAGAAGCGGUAGGCGGAAUGCAUGGUGUAGCGGUGAAAUGCUUAGAGAUCACACAGAACACCGAUUGCGAAGGCAGCUCACUAAUCUACAUCUGACGCUGAGGCACGAAAGUGUGGGUAGCAAACAGGAUUAGAUACCCGAGUAGUC
rnacentral:rRNA from 1 species